rnacentral:rRNA from 1 species
AUUGAACGCUGGCGGCAGGCCUAACACAUGCAAGUCGAGCGGAUGAAGGGAGCUUGCUCCUGGAUUCAGCGGCGGACGGGUGAGUAAUGCCUAGGAAUCUGCCUGGUAGUGGGGGAUAACGUCCGGAAACGGGCGCUAAUACCGCAUACGUCGUGAGGGAGAAAGUGGGGGAUCUUCGGACCUCACGCUAUCAGAUGAGCCUAGGUCGGAGUAGCUAGUUGGUGGGGUAAAGGCCUACCAAGGCGACGAUCCGUAACUGGUCUGAGAGGAUGAUCAGUCACACUGGAACGGAGACACGGUCCAGACUCCUACGGGAGGCAGCAGUGGGGAAUGUUGGACAAUGGGCGAGAGCCUGAUCCAGCCAUGCCGCGUGUGUGAAGGAGGUCUUCGGAUUGUAAAGCACUUUAAGUUGGGAGAAAGGGCAGUAAGUUAAUACCUUGCUGUUUUGACGUUAACAACAGAAUAAGCACCGGCUAACUUCGUG